GCUCGCGUAGCUCAGUCGGUAGAGCGCUCGGCUGUUAACCGAAAGGUCGGUGGUUCAAACCCACCCGUGAGCG